CCUUUCGCUUAUUGAUAUGCUUAAGUUCAGCGGGUAUCCUUACCUGACGGGAGGUGAAUCCCACCCAAGUUGUACCUACCUCUGUUGCUUUGGCGGGCCGCGGUCCUCCGCGGCCGCCCCCCUCCCCGGGGGGUGGCCAGCGCCCGCCAGAGGACCAUCAAACUCCAGUCAGUAAACGAUGCAGUCUGAAAAACAUUUAAUAAACUAAAACUUUCAACAACGGAUCUCUUGGUUCUGGCAUCGAUGAAGAACGCAGCGAAAUGCGAUAAGUAAUGUGAAUUGCAGAAUUCAGUGAAUCAUCGAAUCUUUGAACGCACAUUGCGCCCUUUGGUAUUCCGAAGGGCAUGCCUGUUCGAGCGUCAUUACAACCCUCAAGCUCUGCUUGGUAUUGGGCACCGUCCUUUGCGGGCGCGCCUCAAAGACCUCGGCGGUGGCGUCUUGCCUCAAGCGUAGUAGAACAUACAUCUCGCUUCGGAGCGCAGGGCGUCGCCCGCCGGACGAACCUUCUGAACUUUUCUCAAGGUUGACCUCGGAUCAGGUAGGGAUACCCGCUGAACUUAAGCAUAUCAAUAAGGCGGGAGGAA
rnacentral:rRNA from 1 species